GGCUGGUCCAAAGGUAAUGAGUUAACUCACCUGAUUUUUCAGUCAGUUACAGAUUGAACUCCUUGUUCUACUGCUUCUCCCUCUUCUCACUACUGCACUAGACUAGUCUUAA
rnacentral:Y_RNA from 1 species